CGGGUCCUACCUGGAGCGACACCGCGCGGCAGGGCGCCAGGCUCCGCGGCGUGGGCCGCCGCCGCGCCCGCCCCAGAGGUCGUUUCCCCUGCAGUUUCCAACAUGGCAGGCAGGCAGGUUUUAUAGACAUGGACAAGAAGUCUGCACACAGAAGUUCUGAGGAUGCCAGGACCGGCAAAAGUGGAGGUAAACACAAACAAAAGAAAAGAGAAAAGCAAAACCAAGAACACCACCGAUCCCGACAUAGGUCAACAUCUCAUUCUUCAGAUGACUGUGUGUUUCCUUCUUCUGUAUCAUCUUCAGGAAGCCACACGGAUUCAAGUCUAGAAGGUGCUGCCAAGGGAAGAAUUAAGAGAAAGAGAGGAAAGAAAAGGAGUAAACGGAGAAAAGAAAGAAAGGUAACUGGGGAUAAUUUAAUACAGGAAGAAAAUUUAGCUAUCCGAGUAUUCCGCGCUUUCUUGCUAAUAAAGGAAAACAGCCUACACGGGACUUUGCAGAGCUGGAAGGAACGAGUGGUGAACAUGCCGUUAACAUGGAGCUAAUCGAAUAGUAUCCUUUUUCUUUUCAAAUACUGUAAUCGAAGUUUCACCUUCUCAGGUGUCAGUUACCUGAAGCACACUGUGGUCCGAACCUACUAAAUGGAAGAAUUCCAAAGAUAGACCAGUCGUAAGUUUUCACUUUUGUCCAUUCUGAGUAGUGUGAUAAAACCUCACGCCAUCCUACUCCGUCCCACUCUGGAUGGGAAUCAUCUUUGUCCAGCAUAUCCACGCUAUAUAUGCUACCCACCCCGGGUCACCUAGUAGCCAUCUCCGUUAUUGGAUCAUCAGCUGUCACAGGACUGUAGUUCUUGUGGUCAGGUACCCUUAUUUUACUUAAAAUGGCUCCAAAGCCAAAGAGUAGUGAUGCUGGCAAUUUGGAUAUUCUCUUACUGUGGCUGAUUUAGAAAUUAUACUUUAUCCCAGGUAUGUAUGUAUAGGAAAAGACACUGUAUAUAUAGGGUCUGGUGCUAUCCCUGGUUUGGGGUAUCCACUGGGGAGGGUUGAAUCAUCCCCUGUGAAUAAGGGAGGAAGACUUUAUUCAGAAAACUAUACAGAUAGGUAAAAUCUUACAUUUGCAAUUCUUUUGAUGCUCUUUAUUUUUAUGUAUUUUUUUGGCUACACCCAUGGCAUAUGCAAGUUCCCUGGGCCAGGGAUCAAACCUGUGCCAUAGCAGCAACCUGAGCCACUGCAGUGAUAAUGCCAGGUCCGUAAUCCCCUGAACCGCUAGGGAACUCCUGAUUCUCUUUAUUUUUUAUGUUAACACAAAUUGGUUUGAAUAAAUGCCAAUAAUAUAGAAAUAGAUAAAAGUGA
rnacentral:lncRNA from 1 species